GUCUCUCUCUCUCUCAGGCGGGACGGGAUCGGUCGUGGUGGGUGGCUGCUGCUCGGCCCCUGCGCCGAUGUAGGCAGACAAUGCCCAUUGAUGUGCUUUGCCUAGUUGACAAAUACCACUUUACAAGAAGUUGAUAUGACAGUUCUUGAAUGUGGAGAAAAUUAGUCUGAAUGAAUAGAAGACUACAGUUUCUGUACAUAUGGCCUGUAUACUAUGUAAAGAUUUGUACAGAAUUUCUACAGCUCAAGUUUGGCAGCUUUUCUUCCACCAGAAGAAUGUUCUGGAAGAAAUAUACAGGUAGAUGAGUUUUUAAAAGAUGGAAUUUGGAAAUCUGUAAAUCAUGGUAACAUAUUACUGGUAUGUUCACAAGAAGACUCAAAUAGCUUUAAACUAUAUGUGGCAGUGGUGAGGGAAUGGUCUUGGGUACUAAAAAAUAAAGACUAUAUAUUUAUUUUUAA